rnacentral:rRNA from 1 species
UACGGGGGGAGCAAGCGUUGUUCGGAUUUACUGGGCGUAAAGGGCGCGUAGGCGGCCUCCGCAAGUCAGUUGUGAAAUCUCCGAGCUUAACUCGGAAAGGUCAACUGAUACUGCGGGGCUAGAGUGCGGAAGGGGAAACUGGAAUUCUUGGUGUAGCGGUGAAAUGCGUAGAUAUCAAGAGGAACACCUGCGGCGAAGGCGGGUUGCUGGGCCGACACUGACGCUGAGGCGCGAAAGCUAGGGGAGCAAACAGG